rnacentral:snRNA from 16 species
GGUUUAUUACCCAAAGUUUGAGGUAAACAUUGAAACUGAACCCAAAGAAAUUUGGCGUUGGCUAUAAAUUUUGGAACGUCCUCCUUCAGGGGAGACAAA